rnacentral:lncRNA from 1 species
UGUCAAUAGACUAUAAGCUCAAGAAUCUUGUUUUAUCUCCCUACCCCUUGAACAUGCCUACUAUAUAGUAAGUAUUGAAUUAUUGGGAUGUUUUCAGAGUAGAGAAAUAAGCAAUUAAAAAUUCUAUAAUCUGGAUGCUGAAUCAAUCAUAAUGAGAGAGGAGAAAAUGAAAAAUCAGUUCGGUAGACAGCUAAGGCUAGUCUUCAGAGAAGCAGUCUGCCUGGAAAAUCACAGCUACAGGCAAAAAUAGAGCAGCCUGGGGAAAACUCAGACUGUACCUGCACAGAUAAGCAGGCAAGGUCCAGCACAGAAGCCUUUUGUUCUUUGUGUGAUUAGCAGGCUCCCAGGAAAAUGUUUUCUCCCCUUUUCAGAUAUGAACACGGGGGGAUCCAUGGGAGAUUGCACUGGAAACAGAGGGGGUUUACCUAAAAGAAACCCACAAUUACUCAAACAAGAAAAAACUAUGCUUUGUGCUUACCUAGAGACAUCUCACAGCUGUAUAGGUAGGUGGAGUUGUGCAGACAGGUUUUCAAAUAAGAGAAGUUACUCAAACAGCUACAGAGAUGAGAGGAGUUUCUUAUAAAAGCUUUUGCAUUCAGCUGUAAAAUGGCACCCCACUUGGGCUCUCCUCUCCACUGUGGAGAGCUUUCUUCUUUCACUUACUAAACUUUUGCUCCAACCUCACCCUUUGCAUUCAUGCUCCUUAAUUUUCUCAGUCAUGACACAAUAAGUUCAAAUAACACCUUAGACAAUGAGACAAUGGACCCUGACCUAUUUCAAUAAUACUGAAGCAUUGGGCAGUUUGAAAGAGGAAAGUUCUCAACAGUAAGAAAUUGUAGUGUGAGUUAUCUUAAUGAUGGACCUUUGAAUAGCAUUAAGUAUAGUGCCAAUAUCUGAACAAGGAAAAUAAUCAUUGUAUUUCCUUUCUACUUCAUACAAUUGUAAUGGCUUCAAGUAUUGCAGAGUAGAUGUCUGGUGUUAAAUGUAUACAGUGUUGACUAUUUUAAAAAUGACCAGUAAUUCAAAACAAAUUAAUUUUGAGAGUCCAACAUAUCAUUCAUGGGUUAAUUCUUUCUGACUGGUCUUCUCUAUUCAGUUAAUUUUGUUCCCUUCUGCCAGAUUAAUUUACUCUUUCAGCAAAUAUUUUUUGAGUGCCUCUUAUGUGCUAGGCAGUGCUCAAAGUGCAGGGGAUAUGGUAGGGAACAAAACAUAAAAUUCCUUGUCUUCAUGGAGGAGAAGACAAUAAAUUUAUGAUAGGAUUUCGGGUAUUGAGAAGUACUAUGAAGAAAAUAAAAGCAGAGUGCCACAAUGGAAUGACUGUGCACGUGUAUGUGUGCACGCGCACGCAGAGUGGAACAAAAGAAAAGUGAUUCUUCUUGCUUUAGUACAGCUGUUGCAUGGGUUUGAGCACUUUUGGCAGCUCCAGGAAACCCAAAGUACCUGUGGCCCAUUGAGAAGGUGUGGCACCUGCUGCCAGAGGCUUUGGGAGUAACCCACUUUCUACAGAAGAGCUCUGUGGUGCAGAAGCUGCCACAUGGUAACAAGCACAUGGAGCAGAAGACAAGCACAAUGUCCUUGACCAUAGAUUACUUAACGACUCCACCUACUUUAAAGAUGUUGAACUGAUGAGAAAGUAUUAGCUAUGGCUAAAUGUUGUGUGUGAGAAGUACUUUGCAAACCUCUGAAACACUUUACAGAUAUUGUUAUCAGUCAAACUGGAAGUAGAAUGUCCACAGUGCAGUGUAACAAAUGUGACAUGUGCAUGAGUUAAGAAACAGCUGUAAUGGGAAAGAUGAAAAAACAUGCUUUAUUUGUUUAUUCCAUUGUUCAGCUUCUCUUUAAAUUCUUUCCACAUGGACAAAUUGCUUGACAACAAAGUUUACUUAGUUUUCUAAACACUUGGGAUCAUCUCUAAAAUUAAAAAAAUUAAUAUUAAAUGUUGGACCAAGGAUUUCAACCAUGCAGUAUGUUGCUUCUGGGGUCUGCUGUCCUAUUCCAGCCCUAGUGAAUAGAUAAUGCCUUGAACUAUUCCUAUCACCACAGGUUGCCAGGCCACCAAAUAACGAAGCCAAUCCAGGAUUUGUCCAUACAGAAAAUGUGUGCGCUCCCAGCUAAAUCUCAGUUAAGGAGGUUGUUCUAUAUACAGCCAAGUAGCAGAAAUAUUCAUAAAUGUCAUUUGCAAAUAUAAUAAACAAUGUAAUGAAUGGGUAUUUCCUUUCUUGUUAAUUCUAUGUGCUCAAUUAAAA